rnacentral:rRNA from 1 species
CCGAGGAAAAGAAAUCAACCGAGAUUCCCCCAGUAGCGGCGAGCGAACGGGGAGCAGCCCAGAGCCUGAAUCAGUGUGUGUGUUAGUGGAAGCGUCUGGAAAGGCGCGCGAUACAGGGUGACAGCCCCGUACACAAAAAUGCACAUGCUGUGAGCUCGAUGAGUAGGGCGGGACACGUGGUAUCCUGUCUGAAUAUGGGGGGACCAUCCUCCAAGGCUAAAUACUCCUGACUGACCGAUAGUGAACCAGUACCGUGAGGGAAAGGCGAAAAGAACCCCGGCGAGGGGAGUGAAAAAGAACCUGAAACCGUGUACGUACAAGCAGUGGGAGCACGCUUAGGCGUGUGACUGCGUACCUUUUGUAUAAUGGGUCAGCGACUUAUAUUCUGUAGCAAGGUUAACCGAAUAGGGGAGCCGAAGGGAAACCGAGUCUUAACUGGGCGUUAAGUUGCAGGGUAUAGACCCGAAACCCGGUGAUCUAGCCAUGGGCAGGUUGAAGGUUGGGUAACACUAACUGGAGGACCGAACCGACUAAUGUUGAAAAAUUAGCGGAUGACUUGUGGCUGGGGGUGAAAGGCCAAUCAAACCGGGAGAUAGCUGGUUCUCCCCGAAAGCUAUUUAGGUAGCGCCUCGUGAAUUCAUCUCCGGGGGUAGAGCACUGUUUCGGCAAGGGGGUCAUCCCGACUUACCAACCCGAUGCAAACUGCGAAUACCGGAGAAUGUUAUCACGGGAGACACACGGCGGGUGCUAACGUCCGUCGUGAAGAGGGAAACAACCCAGACCGCCAGCUAAGGUCCCAAAGUCAUGGUUAAGUGGGAAACGAUGUGGGAAGGCCCAGACAGCCAGGAUGUUGGCUUAGAAGCAGCCAUCAUUUAAAGAAAGCGUAAUAGCUCACUGGUCGAGUCGGCCUGCGCGGAAGAUGUAACGGGGCUAAACCAUGCACCGAAGCUGCGGCAGCGACGCUUAUGCGUUGUUGGGUAGGGGAGCGUUCUGUAAGCCUGUGAAGGUGUGCUGUGAGGCAUGCUGGAGGUAUCAGAAGUGCGAAUGCUGACAUAAGUAACGAUAAAGCGGGUGAAAAGCCCGCUCGCCGGAAGACCAAGGGUUCCUGUCCAACGUUAAUCGGGGCAGGGUGAGUCGACCCCUAAGGCGAGGCCGAAAGGCGUAGUCGAUGGGAAACAGGUUAAUAUUCCUGUACUUGGUGUUACUGCGAAGGGGGGACGGAGAAGGCUAUGUUGGCCGGGCGACGGUUGUCCCGGUUUAAGCGUGUAGGCUGGUUUUCCAGGCAAAUCCGGAAAAUCAAGGCUGAGGCGUGAUGACGAGGCACUACGGUGCUGAAGCAACAAAUGCCCUGCUUCCAGGAAAAGCCUCUAAGCAUCAGGUAACAUCAAAUCGUACCCCAAACCGACACAGGUGGUCAGGUAGAGAAUACCAAGGCGCUUGAGAGAACUCGGGUGAAGGAACUAGGCAAAAUGGUGCCGUAACUUCGGGAGAAGGCACGCUGAUAUGUAGGUGAAGUCCCUCGCGGAUGGAGCUGAAAUCAGUCGAAGAUACCAGCUGGCUGCAACUGUUUAUUAAAAACACAGCACUGUGCAAACACGAAAGUGGACGUAUACGGUGUGACGCCUGCCCGGUGC